rnacentral:rRNA from 4 species
AACGACUCUCGGCAACGGAUAUCUCGGCUCUCGCAUCGAUGAAGAACGUAGCGAAAUGCGAUACUUGGUGUGAAUUGCAGAAUCCCGUGAACCAUCGAGUUUUUGAACGCAAGUUGCGCCCUAGGCCAUCCGGCCGAGGGCACGCCUGCCUGGGCGUCACGC